AACGGUUCGUUGAACGGAGUUGUUGCGGAAGAGAAAGCCUCAUAUCUAUGGUUUCAUACUCUUAUCCGGCAUUAGUUCUUCCCUUGUAAAAUAAAUUCCUUAUUCUCCGAGAAAACACACAUCAAUCUAGGAAUGAUAACAAGUCUAUAAUAAUAGUAAUAAAAUUAUCAUCAUUAAUAUUCCUUGGUAAGUAAAACUUAAGUCUAGUCAAAUUAGAUCAAAAUGACUAGGCAUCACACAAGUUUAAAUUUUGAGGUUUUUGUGAGACUAACAAUUGCACAUGGUAAGUGUAACAUUCGGAUUUAGUCUGACGUUAGAAAUGAGAUGAUGUUUAUUAUGAUAUAUAGGCUAGAUGGACCCACCAUCAUUAUAUCAGAGGACUAAAGCAUUUUGGGUUACAUGGUUUUGCACUUUUCAAUUAAUUAAUUCAGUUUUUCCAUUGGGUCAAAUUGAGUCAAUUGGAGCAAAGGUAACUAAGCGGACAAACAUAAUUAGGAUUUUUUUAAUAAGCCGAGUAUCCUAGAAUUUGUUUUUUAGAUGAAUAUGCUAAAUGCAAAUAUAGAAGUAUUCUUAGGAUUUAAAGUGCAGGAUAAAUCUGGUAGUAUCUGGUUUUGAUGACUUACCUUCCAUCUGCAUUUUAUUGUUUUCAUGGUUGUUGCAGUAUUUUGCUUAUAGCUUGAUAUGCUCUAUCCAGACCUGCUACAAAAGCUAGUCGCUAUGUUGAUUGAUCCUUGGUUUCAUCAUUUUCUCUUCUUCAUGUAGUUUUUGUUUCUUUUCAUACCAUUUAUCAUUUGGUGUGCAGAAUGUUUUUCCUCUCAUGUAGUUCGUGUUCUUUUCCACAACAUUUAUCUUCUGUUAUGCAGAACAAUGCAACAAGGAGGAUGCACGUGUUCUUGUCCACUGUCACCUGCAAUUGUAAUAGCCUAUUUGAUGAAAUGCAAAGGAUGGCCACUCGCAUGAAGUUUUCAAUGGAUUAAAAUCGGUGACCUAUCCCCAGGAAGAAACUUGGAGUGGAUAGGAGAUGGAAAACAAUGCUUCUGUAGUCGUCCCUCCUACUGACAGCUCCUGAAGAAUUAAUGAAAGCAUCUGGAUCUGGAGAUCCCAUCCUAUUUGCAUCUAAAAGACAGGGUUCUGAGGUCUGUGAUCAAAAAGUGUUGGAGGAGAGAUGAUCUCUUUUUUUUCUUUUUUCUUGUAAUUUUCCUUCUUUCCAGGCUACUGUAACGCUUUAAGAACGAAUGAGUUCGUGGUUCACAAGAUGACCAAACCAGUUUUCCUCGUAAUGCUUCUUCUUUCGGUGUGCUAA